AGAGAGAGACAUGCGCGCAUAUCAAUAAGCGGAGGAAAAGAAACUAACAAGGAUUCCCUUAGUAACGGCGAGUGAAGCGGGAAGAGCUCAAAUUUGAAAUCAUUCAAGGUUUUACCUUGACGAAUUGUAGUUUAAAGAAGUGUUUUCUGCUGAAGUUUUGGUAAAAGUUCUUUGGAAUAGGACAUCAUAGAGGGUGAGAAUCCCGUAUUUGACCAUUAUUUUCAGCUUUGUGAUACACUUUCAAAGAGUCGGAUUGUUUGGGAAUGCAGUCCAAAAUGGGUGGUAAAUUUCAUCUAAAGCUAAAUAUUGGCGAGAGACCGAUAGCGAACAAGUACCGUGAGGGAAAGAUGAAAAGAACUUUGAAAAGAGAGUUAAACAGUACGUGAAAUUGUCAAAAGGGAAGCGUUUGACACCAGUGUUGUUUUCUCGAAAAUCAAUUAAAAAUGGCUCGAUUUUGUAUUGUUGAGACCUUAAAAGCUCACUGUACAUUUUUCGUGUCUUUUUUAAUGCACUUUUCGUUUAACAAGUCAACAUCAGUUUCUUUUGUUGUAAAAGGGUCAUUGGAAGGUGGCUUUCUUUUCGGAGAAAGUGUUUAUAGCCUUUGGCCUCUGCAAUCGAAGAGACUGAGGUCUGCAGCGUAGACUCUUCGGGGUUAGAUACAUUUGUGCUAAGUUAUAGCUUUUUAUAGACAACUUGUUGACUAUAAUUAGUCUUGUAGCUUACUCGCUUAUGCUAUUUUACCUACGCUUAGGAUGUUGAGUCGUAGAGCACGCAG
rnacentral:rRNA from 1 species